AUUGAACGCUGGCGGCAGGCCUAACACAUGCAAGUCGAGCGAGCGGCGGACGGGUGAGUAAUGUAUGGGGACUGCCCGAUAGAGGGGGAUAACUACUGGAAACGGUGGCUAAUACCGCAUACUAUCGGAUAACCCAUAUGGGAUUAGCUAGUAGGUGGGGUAAAGGCUCACCUAGGCGACGAUCACUAGCUGGUCUGAGAGGAUGAUCAGCCACACUGGGACUGAGACACGGCCCAGACUCCUACGGAGGCAGCAGUGGGGAAUAUUGGGCAAUGGGCGAAAGUCUGAUCGAGCAACGCCGCGUGAGUGAAGAAGGUUUUCGGAUCGUAAAACUCUGUUGGUCGGGAGGCGUUAUCUAACCAGAAAGCAACGGCUAACUACGUGCCAGCAGCCGCGGUAAUAC
rnacentral:rRNA from 1 species